rnacentral:rRNA from 1 species
GACGUAGGGCACGCGCGUUGUCCGGAUUAUUGGGCGUAAAGAGCGUGUAGGCGGCUUGUUAGGUCUUGCGUGAAAUCUCGGGGCUCAACCCCGAGCGGUCGUGAGAAACUGGCAGGCUAGAGUGCGGGAGAGGAGAGUGGAAUUCCUGGUGUAGCGGUGAAAUGCGCAGAUAUCAGGAAGAACACCCGUGGCGAAGGCGGCUCUCUGGAACGCAACUGACGCUGAGACGCGAAAGCGUGGGGAGCAAACAGG